CGAGCCCGCCCUACCAACCCCGUGGCGCCGGAGGCGGAGUCGGGCUGCCCCCUGAGUGGAACGGGCGGGCUGAGGCAGCUGCCUCACUAUGGGCAGAGCCAUGGGACUGGCUGGAGCGCUCCUGGGGCUCGUCGUGAUCCCCGCCGUGCUGGUGAGCACCAGUCUCCGACACGGCGCCCCGCGGACCGAGGCCGAGCCGGAGCCGUCCGGCUGGGAGCUGGCGGCAGACGCCGUCCCCGAGGACUCGCUGUGGCCGCUGCCGCAGUGGGUCCGCACGUACCCUCGCCAGCUGCAGCUAGCGCCCAGCCGCUUCCAGCUGGUGCAUGGCGCCGGCUCCUCGGCGGGGCCGGGCUGCGGGCUGCUGCAGGACGCCUUCCGCAGGUACUAUGAGUACAUGUUCGGGCAUUCCCGGCGGCGGAUGUGGAGCCGCAGGCCGCUGGCUGCCCGAGCGGAGCCCGAGCUGUUCCAGCUGCAGGUGGUGAUCGAGGCGGGGGACCCUGGCUGUGACAGGCACCCGCACCUCACCUCCAGCGAGGCCUACCAUUUAACUGUAACUGAGCCUGUGGCUAUACUGAAAGCUUCUGAGGUAUGGGGUGCUUUAAGAGGUUUGGAAACCUUCAGCCAGUUGGUUCAUGAAGAUGACUAUGGAAGCUUUCUUGUCAAUGAAUCUGAAAUCAAUGACUUCCCAAGAUUUGCUCAUAGAGGAGUCUUAUUAGAUACUUCAAGGCAUUAUUUACCUUUGAAAUCUAUUCUUACAAACCUGGAUGCCAUGGCUUUUAAUAAAUUCAAUGUUCUCCACUGGCAUAUAGUAGAUGAUCAGUCCUUCCCUUACCAGAGCAUUUAUUUCCCUGAAUUAAGUGAUAAGGGGGCAUACUCCUCUAAUCUCAUCUAUACUCCUACUGAUGUCCGUCUGGUGAUUGAGUAUGCCCGGUUAAGAGGCAUCAGAGUUAUCCCGGAGUUUGAUACGCCAGGACACACGCAGUCUUGGGGAAAAGGUCAAAAAGAUCUUCUCACUCCUUGUUACAAUGGAGGACAGCCAACUGGGUCCUUUGGACCCGUAAAUCCUGUUUGGAAUACAACUUAUGACUUCAUGACUAAGUUCUUUAAGGAGAUCAGCGGUGUAUUUCCAGAUGAAUUCAUUCAUUUGGGAGGAGAUGAAGUGGACUUCAGUUGUUGGAAAUCUAACCCUGAGGUGAAAGAGUUCAUGAAGAAGCAAGGUUUUGGCAUUGACUAUGCUAAACUGGAAUCUUACUAUGUUCAGAACAUUUUGGACAUUGUUUCCUCCUACAACAAAGGACAAAUGGUCUGGCAAGAAGUGUUUGAUCACAAAGCACAACUGAAACCAGACACUGUAGUUCAAGUGUGGAUGGCAAAUAACUACGCUCCUGAACUGAGCAGGGUCACAGGAGCUGGGUUCACUGCUGUCCUGUCAGCACCGUGGUACUUAGAUUACAUUAGUUAUGGGCAAGACUGGAAGAAAUACUACAGUGUUGAACCACUUAACUUCCCUGGAUCUGAAGAACAGAAGAAACUUUUAAUAGGUGGAGAAGCUUGCCUGUGGGGGGAAUUCGUGGAUGCAACUAAUCUGACACCAAGAUUAUGGCCUCGAGCAAGUGCUGUUGGGGAAAGACUCUGGAGCAGCAGCAAUGUGACCAACUUGCAGGAUGCCUACAAAAGGCUAACUAAUCAUCGAUGCCGCAUGCUCCGCCGUGGCAUAGCAGCCGAACCGGUGUUCGUUGGAUACUGUGCCCAUGAAGCAAGAGGGCCAUAACUGCUGCAAAGACUUCUUGUCAACAGCCUGAAGUGCCUCAGGGGUACGAAUACUGGUACAGCAGCGACUACAACUCUGUUAUCUUGACGAGACUGGAUUUCCUGAAUAUUACCUCUCCGCUGUGCAAGAUCAGCAAGUGC